rnacentral:rRNA from 1 species
CCUACGGAGGGCAGCAGUAAGGAAUCUUGCGCAAUGGGCGAAAGCCUGACGCAGCGACGCCGCGUGGGCGAUGAAGGCCUUCGGGUUGUAAAGCUCUGUCAGAGGGGAAGAAAUGCAGGUGGUGAACAACCAUUCUGUUUGACGGUACCCUCAAAGGAAGCACCGGCUAACUCCGUGCCAGCAGCCGCGGUAAUACGGAGGGUGCGAGCGUUGUUCGGAAUUAUUGGGCGUAAAGCGCGUGUAGGCGGCUUGUUAAGUCGGAGGUGAAAGCCCCGGGCUCAACCGGGAAAGGGCAUUGGAUACUGGCAGACUUGAGUACGGGAGAGGAGAGUGGAAUUCCCAGUGUAGGAGUGAAAUCCGUAGAUAUUGGGAGGAACACCGGUGGCGAAGGCGGCUCUCUGGACCGAUACUGACGCUGAGACGCGAAAGCGUGGGGAGCAAACAGGAUUAGAUACCCUGGUAGU